rnacentral:rRNA from 1 species
GACGAGAGUCGCAGAUACCAGGUGGCUGCAACUGUUUAUUAAAAACACAGCACUGUGCAAAAUCGUAAGAUGACGUAUACGGUGUGACGCCUGCCCGGUGCCGGAAGGUUAAUUGAUGGGGUUAGCGUAAGCGAAGCUCUUGAUCGAAGCCCCGGUAAACGGCGGCCGUAACUAUAACGGUCCUAAGGUAGCGAAAUUCCUUGUCGGGUAAGUUCCGACCUGCACGAAUGGCGUAAUGAUGGCCACGCUGUCUCCACCCGAGACUCAGUGAAAUUGAAAUCGCUGUGAAGAUGCAGUGUACCCGCGGCUAGACGGAAAGACCCCGUGAACCUUUACUACAGCUUGGCACUGAACAUUGAACCUACAUGUGUAGGAUAGGUGGGAGGCUUUGAAGACGUGACGCCAGUUGCGUUGGAGCCGUCCUUGAAAUACCACCCUUGUAUGUUUGAUGUUCUAACGUUGGCCCCUAAUCGGGGUUGCGGACAGUGCCUGGUGGGUAGUUUGACUGGGGCGGUCUCCUCCCAAAGAGUAACGGAGGAGCACGAAGGUGGGCUAAUCACGGUUGGACAUCGUGAGGUUAGUGCAAUGGCAUAAGCCCGCUUAACUGCGAGAAUGACGGUUCGAGCAGGUGCGAAAGCAGGUCAUAGUGAUCCGGUGGUUCUGAAUGGAAGGGCCAUCGCUCAACGGAUAAAAGGUACUCCGGGGAUAACAGGCUGAUACCGCCCAAGAGUUCAUAUCGACGGCGGUGUUUGGCACCUCGAUGUCGGCUCAUCACAUCCUGGGGCUGAAGUCGGUCCCAAGGGUAUGGCUGUUCGCCAUUUAAAGUGGUACGCGAGCUGGGUUUAGAACGUCGUGAGACAGUUCGGUCCCUAUCUGCCGUGGGCGUUGGAAGAUUGAAGGGGGCUGCUCCUAGUACGAGAGGACCGGAGUGGACGAACCUCUGGUGUUCGGGUUGUGUCGCCAGACGCAUUGCCCGGUAGCUAAGUUCGGAAUCGAUAACCGCUGAAAGCAUCUAAGCGGGAAGCGAGCCCUGAGAUGAGUCUUCCCUGAUACUUUAAGUAUCCUGAAGGGUUGUUCGAGACUAGAACGUUGAUAGGCAGGGUGUGUAAGCGCUGUGAGGCGUUGAGCUAACCUGUACUAAUUGCCCGUGAGGCUUAACCAUACAACACCCAAAGGGUUUUG